rnacentral:rRNA from 1 species
UGCCCGCAAGGGUGCAUGGCAGACGGGUGAGUAACGCGUGGGGAACCUACCUUUUCGUGGGGAAUAACGUUCCGAAAGGAAUGGUAAUACCGCAUGAGACCGAUGGCUGGGGUGCUGUCGGUGAAAGCCGGGGAUCGUAAGACCUGGCGCGAGAAGAGGGUCCUGCGUCUGAUUAGCUAGUUGGCGGGGUAAUGGCCCACCAAGGCGUCGAUCAGUAGCCGGCCUGAGAGGGUGAUCGGCCACACUGGAACUGAGACACGGUCCAGACUCCUACGGGAGGCAGCAGUGGGGAAUUUUGCGCAAUGGGCGGAAGCCUGACGCAGCAACGCCGCGUGGGUGAUGAAGGUCUUCGGAUCGUAAAACCCUGUCGUCAGGGACGUAGGUUGUGUUCCUAAUACGGAUGCAACUUGACGGUACCUGGAGAGGAAGCCCCGGCUAACUCUGUGCCAGCAGCCGCGGUAAUACAGAGGGGGCAAGCGUUAUUCGGAAUUAUUGGGCGUAAAGGGCGCGUAGGCGGUGAUUUAAGUGAGAUGUGCAAUCCCCGGGCUUAACCUGGGAACUGCAUCUCAGACUGGGUCGCUAGAGUGCUGGAGAGGGUGGUGGAAUUCCACGUGUAGCGGUGAAAUGCGUAGAGAUGUGGAGGAACACCAGUGGCGAAGGCGGCCACCUGGACAGUAACUGACGCUGAGGCGCGAAAGUGUGGGGAGCAAACAGGAUUAGAUACCUGGUAGUCCA